rnacentral:snoRNA from 1 species
UCCUAUGAUGGCAUGAAAUCUUUGAGACCUGAUUUUUUCAUUGGAUGACAACUACAAGCAUAAUCGCUGAGGAU